rnacentral:rRNA from 1 species
UUGAUCCUGGCUCAGGAUGAACGCUGGUGGCGUGCUUAACACAUGCCAGUCGAACGAAGCGCCUUGCCGGACCCCCUUCGGGGAGGAAGGCAUUGCUACUGACUGGCGGACGGGUGAGUAACUCGUGGGCAACCUGCCCCAUCCAUGGGGAUAACAGUUAGAUAUGACUGCUAACAGCCGCAUAAGCAUCACAGGGUCGCAUGGCCCGGUGUGAAAAACUCCGGUGGUAUGGGAUGGGCCCGCGUCUGAUUAGCCAGUUGGCGGGGUAACGGCCCACCAAAGCGUCGAUCAGUAGCCGACCUGAGAGGGUGACCGGCCACAUUGGGACUGAGACACGGCCCAAACUCCUACGGGAGGCAGCAGUGGGGAAUAUUGCACAAUGGGGGGAACCCUGAUGCAGCGACGCCGCGUGAGCGAAGAAGUAUCUCGGUAUGUAAAGCUCUAUCAGCAGGGAAGAAAAAUGACGGUACCUGACUAAGAAGCCCCGGCUAACUACGUGCCAGCAGCCGCGGUAAUACGUAGGGGGCAAGCGUUAUCCGGAUUUACUGGGUGUAAAGGGAGCGCAGGCGGCGCGGCAAGUCUGAUGUGAAAGCCCGGGGCUCAACCCCGGGACUGCAUUGGAAACUGUCGCGCUCGAGUGUCGGAGAGGUAAGUGGAAUUCCUAGUGUAGCGGCGAAAUGCGUAGAUAUUAGGAAGAACACCAGUGGCGAAGGCGGCUUUCUGGACUGAAACUGACGCUGAGGCUCGAAAGCGUGGGGAGCGAACAGGAUUAGAUACCCUGGUAGUCCACGCUGUAAACGAUGAGUGCUAGGUGUCGGGGAGGAAUUCCCGGUGCCGGAGCAAACGCAAUAAGCACUCCACCUGGGGAGUACGACCGCAAGGUUGAAACUCAAAGGAAUUGACGGGGGCCUGCACAAGCGGUGGAGCAUGUGGUUUAAUUAGAAGCAACGCGAAGAACCUUACCAAGGCUUGACAUACCUUUGACAGAUGUAGAGAUAUAUUUUUCCUUCGGGACAAAGGAUACAGGUGGUGCAUGGUUGUCGUCAGCUAGUGUCGUGAGAUGUUGGGUUAAGUCCCGCAACGAGCGCAACCCUUAUCUUCAGUAGCCAGCAAGAAAGAUGGGCACUCUGGAGAGACUGCCGUGGAUAACACGGAGGAAGGUGGGGAUGACGUCAAAUCAUCAUGCCCCUUAUGUCUUGGGCAACACACGUGCUACAAUGGCUAGAAACAAAGUGAAGCGAGACGGUGACGUUAAGCAAAGCACAAAAACCUAGUCCCAGUUCGGAUUGUAGUCUGCAACUCGAGUACAUGAAGCUGGAAUCGCUAGUAAUCGCAAAUCAGAAUGUUGCGGUGAAUACGUUCCCGGCCCUAGCACUCACCGCCCGUCA